rnacentral:tRNA from 1 species
CAGGGAGACAACACAAUGAUUUUGAUGCCUGAGUGCUUUUAUUCUUAGGCCGAAAUCCUGUCACCUUAGGUCGAUCGGUACCUCAGCUUUGAAGUUAAGGAUCAGCAGCAAUGUUGAUUGCUUGAUGGAGAUUUUCAGUUCCUAAACUUUGUCUAGGUCACACCCCAAAAGGGAUGAGACUCCUGGGCCAUUAGCUCAGGUGGUUAGAGCGCACCCCUGAUAAGGGUGAGGUCCCUGGUUCAAGUCCAGGAUGGCCCAUUCGGUGUUGGGGGUUUAGCUCAGUUGGUAGAGCGCCUGCUUUGCAAGCAGGAUGUCAGGAGUUCGAGUCUCCUAACCUCCACUGACCGAACUUGAUUCCCAUCUCCAAUUUUUUGGAGUUGAGCUCGAUUGGAGUGUGAUUUAGAUGUGUCCGCUGGAUGACCCCAGCUUCCUGUCAUUCCAAGUUUUAGGUUAAAGCCUUGAAUUUGGUUGAUAAGAUGCUGGGCUCGGAUCAAGUGAUCAAGCAAUUGAUGAUUUGAUUUGAAGUUCUAGCAGAACCUUGACAACUGCAUAGGUGAGUCUGGAAAAAACAAAGCAUCUUACAGAUGCAUUGUUUUGAAUCUGAUCUUCUGAAAGGGAGAUUGGAUCUAGAACAAUGAAAAUUCUUUUGAGCAAGAGCCGAGACUCUUGAGCGUUCUUUGAUUGGUGUCGAGCCAAUCAGAGUUUGAUCUUGUUUUUAGCAAUAAAAACUUGAGAAUCUGCUUUCAACGGCGGUAAGCGUUCAGGAGGUUAAUU